UGGCUCAGUUGGUAGAGCAUGGUGUGUGCAACGCCAGGGUUGUGGGUUUGAUUCCCAC
rfam:Salmo salar isolate Sally breed double haploid chromosome ssa10, whole genome shotgun sequence.